AAGGACUUAGCUUAAUUUAAAGUGUUUGAUUUGCAUUCAAUUGAUGUGAGGUUGAGUCUCGCAGUCCUUA
ensembl:Mt_tRNA